AUUGAACGCUGGCGGCAGGCCUAACACAUGCAAGUCGAACGAGUGGCGGACGGGUGAGUAAUGUCUGGGAAAAUGCACGAUGGAGGGGGGUAACUACUGGAAACGGUAGCUAAUACAGCAUACCAUCGGAUGUGCCCAGAUGGGAUUAUCUAGUAGGUGGGGUAACGUCUCACCUGGGAGACGAUCCCUAGCUGGCUUGAGAGGAUGACCAGCCACACGGGAACUGAGACACGGUCCAGCCUCCUACGGGAGGCAGCAGUGGGGAAUAUUGCACAAUGGGCGCAAGCCUGAUGCAGCCAUGCCGCGUGUAUGAAGAAGGCCUUAGGGUUGUAAAGUACUUUCAGCGAGGAGGCGUUACUCGCAGAAGAAGCACCGGCUAACUCCGUGCCAGCAGCCGCGGUAAUUC
rnacentral:rRNA from 1 species